rnacentral:rRNA from 1 species
UACGUAGGGACCAAGCGUUGUUCGGAUUUACUGGACGUAAAGGGCGCGUAGGCGGCGUGACAAGUCACUUGUGAAAUCUCUGAGCUUAACUCAGAACGGCCAAGUGAAACUGUUGUGCUAGAGUGCAGAAGGGGCAAUCGGAAUUCUUGGUGUAGCGGUGAAAUGCGUAGAUAUCAAGAGGAACACCUGAGGUGAAGACGGGUUGCUGGGCUGACACUGACGCUGAUGCGCGAAAGCCAGGGGAGCAAACGGG